rnacentral:lncRNA from 1 species
CAGGAGUCAAGUGGUGGUUCAGUGGGGACGGAAUGAUUAACAAAGGCGUCCGAAGAAAUCGUUGUUGGAAGGUGACCAAGGUGGAAAGAGACGUUGCUUUGGCCCUGCAAAGUCUGUCACACUAAGAUGAGAAAUGUCCUUUCUUCCUGAAGGUGUCUGAUGUGUAAAAAUAUGAUAUACUUUGUGCUGUUUCCUCCCUUCCCUUUUGCAUAUUAUUCUGAAACAACAUUAACUAGUUACUUUGCGUCAUUGAAGGUAUGCACUUCCCCUCUAUGUUAGGAGUGAAUAAAAUUAAAAAUAGAUCCUUAUAACAAAGAAAGGCAGAUAGAAUGAUUAAAAAUGACCAAAACAUGUUAGAAACAGUCUC